UCCGGCCGACUCCCCAGCCUCGUGAAGUGGGGGCUCCGCUCCAGCAGCAUAGGCCCAGGUCUGCGUCUCAGGACCCCAGUCUAUGAAAUGGGCGUAGUGGAGCGGGCUCUGAAGCCGGGCUUAGGUCCUCUCUGGAGCUGCCUCCAACAUCAGCCUCCCCUUUCACUGCUGGAGAGAAGCCACCAGCCACCUGUUCACCAGCUCACCCCAUGCCACCCCCAACAUCUCAAAUGCGACCUACCUCUUGAGGAAGGGGGUUGAAGGCAUCUGUCUCCCGGAUUGAUCUUCUGUGAGCACAGACCCCACCCCACCCCCACUCCCCGAUGGUCUAGGUCGCAGUUACCCCAGUUGCUCGGACCUCAAGUCCAGGAGUGGGCUGAGGAGAGAGCGGAUGGACACGGUUGUGACGAAGACUGCUCCGAGGGUCUCUUCUGUGCUUUCCUCCGUUCCCAGUUUUCUGAGCAUGAUUCUAGAAACUGACUUAUCAGUACUAGUCCCAAAUCCUGUCUCCCAGCCCUGUCCCUUCCCUUCCCUCCCCCAAACAGGUUGUUUUCAGUUCUGGAAAGCCUAUGGGGGAAAUACGGACAGAGAUGACAAGAACCCUUCCCCCCAACCAAGGCAUCCUGGGCACUGGAAAGAGUGACAAUGAUGGUGGAACCUGGUAGGGAGGAGGGAGGCCCAAAGACAGAGAGGUCCAUUGUCCAUGGAGGGGAAGGAAGGCCAUAGGCCCUGUCCUGUGACACUGACUGUGCCCAGCCACGGGACAUGGGUGGGAGAUGCUAGCCCCCUUUGGACAGCUGAGACCCAGAGGCCCUGCUGAGUUCCGGAUGGACGGGGCAGACAAAAGACAAACAGAACUUGCACAACCACAAGAGAAGGAAAAGCAGUUCAGUUUCUCUACCACCCUACUGCCCUCUUUCUGGCUCUAGGCUACAACAGGGCCACAGAAAAGAGAGAGCAAUGAUGCGAGAAGCAGGAGGCCCUGAACCAGAUUCCUAAAUGCUUCAUGUCUCGGGUCACACCUCCAGCGGAAAAGUAAUAAAGAAAAUGGCAAGAUCCAGAGAGGACACUUCGGAGUUUUCCACGUCACCCUCAUGAAAAUUCUGGGAAGGUUUUGAAUUUUCCAUACGCCAAGACCUCCAGAAAAUUUCUGUUUUUUAGACCAGGACAAUGAUGCAACAAGGGGAGAUAAAGAAAGACAGGGAGUGUCCAUCUUUCUUCUCCAAACAUAUGCUCUCCACCUCUCCAAUGCUCUUGGGCCUCCAAUGGGAGAAUCCUGGCCAGAGGGUAUCCUCUGGGAUAAAAGAAAUAGAAGGGUCAAAGGCCAAAUGGAAGGGGACACAGCAUCUCACACUCAUAGGAACACUAAGAGGUCUUUAUUGCCCACCAGCCACCAUCAGUUCCAUCAGUUUCCCAGCCACAUGCUGGGCCCUCUGGGUCUCUCCAACCACUCUGAGGACCCCCAAAACACAGCCACAGUCCAGCUCUCUCCUUCCGGGGAUCGAGGUGCUCCCUGGGGUAGACAGUGUGGAGGAAGGACCGGAGAGUGAGGGACAGGAAGACCAAACAACAUUUCCUGCGGAGAAAGACAGGAGAGA